GAGGCUUUUUGGGAGCUCACUGGCUUCGAGUUCGAUCUGAACUCCAAAGUUAAAAGAGUUUGCGCGAGAGCAAUCCCAUGAUGGGUGACCCACUGGAAAGUUCUCGUGUGAGUUCCCAGAAACAAAAUCGUGAGGGCGUGGUAGAGGCCCAAAGCGGAUAAUAUCGUGCUACGGUGAAGUCGAGCCCGGGAAGUGGUCCCGCCCGGGCGGGGAUGUGACAAUUUGGUAUCAAAGCCAAUCCUUGGCCGGAUGUGUGUUGACGAGGUCGUCAGCCCCUAAGGGGGGUAGAUUGUGACAUCCCAUAUCGCCCAGGGGAGUGGAUCCUCUAAGUCUUAUGUGUAUAUUCUCAUAUUUACCUAUGACGAGGCAUUUUGAGAGCUCACUGGCUUCGGGUUCCAUUGGAACUCUGAAGUUAAGCGAGUUCGCGCGAGAGCAAUCCCAUGAUGGGUGACCCACUGGGAAGUUCUCAUCUGAGUUCC
rnacentral:sRNA from 1 species